rnacentral:rRNA from 1 species
AACAUGGAGAGUUUGAUCCUGGCUCAGGAUGAACGCUGGCGGUAUGCUUAACACAUGCAAGUCGAACGGUCCUUUCGGGGAUAGUGGCGGACGGGUGAGUAACGCGUGAGAAUCUGCCUUCAGGACGGGGACAACAGUUGGAAACGGCUGCUAAAACCCGAUGUGCCUACGGGUGAAAUAUUUAUAGCCUGAAGAGGAGCUCGCGUCUGAUUAGCUAGUAGGUGAGGUAACGGCUCACCUAGGCGACGAUCAGUAACUGGUCUGAGAGGAUGACCAGUCACACUGGGACUGAGACACGGCCCAGACUCCUACGGGAGGCAGCAGUGGGGAAUUUUCCGCAAUGGGCGCAAGCCUGACGGAGCAAUAC